GCACAGAGCCAGAAGCAGGGCUCGAACUUGUGAACUGCAAGAUCAUGACCUGAGCUGAAGAUCAGAUGCUUAACCAACUGAGCCACCCAGCCACCCCUGUCAAGGCUUCCUAACGUAUGGGACAUAAGGAAGUGGUGUGGAGUGCAUCCUUGGGGGUGUUCCAGAAGAGGACACCAAAGGCAGAAAGAAGCUCCUUCAGCUCUUGCUUGUUUUGUUAAUGGGUAUUCACUGACAUGUAAUACUCUAUCAUCCAUAAAAUGCAUCCAUAGACAUUUUCCAUUUGACUUCCAAGCAAUCCUACUGAAGAUGAAAAGAAUCAACUGAUGACAACAAAUGUGUGGCUCAAACAGGUGACACUGUUUAUGGACAGCAAGAGUGGACUUCUGUUUGAAGGCUUGCCCACAUACGUCGCAUUCAAAGGGGUCCUCUGAUGUGUGAAUUCUAUGAUGUCGAACA